GGACUACUGGGGUAUCUAAUCCCGUUUGCUCCCCUAGCUUUCGCGCCUCAGCGUCAGAAGAGGUCCAGCACGUCGCUUUCGCCACCGGCGUUCCUUCUGAUAUCAACGCAUUUCACCGCUCCACCAGAAGUUCCACAUGCCCCUACCUCCCUCGAGCCUGUCAGUAUCAAGGGCACUUUUCCGGUUGAGCCGAAAGAUUUCACCCCUGACUUGACAAGCCGCCUACGCGCCCUUUAAGCCCAGUGAUUCCGAACAACGUUCGCACGGUUCGUCUUACCGCGGCGGCUGGCAC
rnacentral:rRNA from 1 species